UCAACGUUCUGAACGAUCACAUCCGUGUAUUCCGUGUCAUUCAUUAUGGCAUUAAUCUCAAAAUUUUUCAUAUCUUAAUUUAUAUUUGUGUAAUUAUCGUUUCAAUUCCUCCAACUUGUGUAUGAGUGUUCAGGAAUGACGAGCUUAACGGUAUGAUUAGUAAUUAAUAAUGAUGAAUAAUUCCAAAGAUUAGAGGAAUCUACUUCUCUUUAGAUGAAUCAGUGGCUUCGCCUAAAGGAUAAUAUGUAAUGAACUCAUUACCUGAGUCAAAAAGCCAGGUUUUUUCGUUUCUUCUAGCGAUUAUUUAGUAUAGACUCAUCCUUGAGGAUAUGUCUUCAGCUGAGGGUGAUGAUCCUCCAUUUUUACCUGUUGGUACUGAAGUCAGUGCCAAAUACCGAGGAGCAUUUUGUGAAGCCAAAAUAUCCAAAGUCGUCAGGAGCGUCAAAUACAAGGUGGUUGGUAAAUCAGGAACAGGAGCCACUUUUGUCCCUGAAGAAAGGAUCCGAGGGAACAUCAGGUUGGGAGGUUUUGUUGAGGUGAAGAAUGAUAAAAGUCAGUACAUUGAAUGCUCUAUCGUGAAGAUCAAAGAUUUGAGCCAGUACACAGUUGUGUUCAAUGAUGGAGACAUAGCAACCCUUAGAAGAACCGCACUAUGUCUGAAGUCAGGGCGGCAUUUUGCGGAGAGUGAAACUUUGGACCAGCUCCCUCUGACUCAUCCAGAGCACUUCAGUACACCGGUCAUCAGCUCCAGCAGUGCAAGCAAUGCAGCGAGAAGAGGUCGAAGGAAUAGAAUGGAUGAUGAAAGUGACGAUGAAGAAUUAGUAACAAGCAAAACCAAGCAAUCCAAGAGCAAGCAGGAAAAGGAAGCAGACAUCGGGAAAGUGGUUUGUGUUGAGCUGUCUGACAAUCGAAAGAAACUUUCUAGGGAUAACUGGUUUCCAGGGUUAAUUGUUUCGCCAACUGCUCAGAACACUGCUGUGAAGAUUCAAGUAAAAAAUGAGUAUUUAAUACGGUCUUUCAAAGAUGGACGAUACUACACAGUACCCAAAAAAGAGACGCAAGAAUUCACCCGAGAUAUAGCCAACAGAGUUGAAAAUGCCUCAUUAAAAACUGCUGUAGAAAAAGCAUUGUUAUUCUUGGACAAGGAUGAAUUACCACCUCAUUGGGAUAGAGAAUUACUAUUUGGACUUGGAGAUCCAGGAUCAUCUGACUCUGACAACGGUUUUGAAUCGGAUAGUUCCGAUGAUGAGCCUAGAGAGGAAAAGGACCAUUUUGUUGCGCAGCUGUAUAAAUUUAUGGAUGAUCGAGGCACCCCUAUCAACAAGGGACCUCAAGUCAAUUUUAAAGAUGUAGAUCUAUACAAAUUAUUCAAGGUUGUUCAUAAGUUAGGUGGUUACAAUAGGGUUACUAACCACAACCAGUGGAAACUUGUAUCCCUCAAAUUAGGUUUCAGCCAAACAGGAGCUACUCCGAACCAUGUCAAAUCAACUUACAAAAAAUACUUACAUAGUUUUGAAGAUUUCUACCGUAAACUAGGUUGCACUUUGCUCAGUAAUCCAAGGAGUAAUAGGAGCCGAAGUAGAAGUGGUCGUAGUUUGAUUCGUGACAAAGACAGAUCAACUCCCAUUCAGAGGGAUAAAUCUAAUGAAGACAAAGAUUCAAAAGAUGACUCGAGUAGUGAUCGUAAAGAUGAAGAUAGUGAUGAUAAAGAAAGAGAUAUUGAUUCCAAGCUCAUCAGGGAUACCCAAAGUUCUACCAAAAGCUCUAUCAAAGUCAAAGAGGAGAAGUCUGAAAAAUCAAAAGAAGAGAAAGGGAAGUCUGAGUUGGAAACUAAAGUGACUGACGAAGAAUCAAGAAAAGAGGAUAAAAAAAUUCGUGCCAGCAAGAAUGUUGAAGAAAAGCCAGCAAAAGCUAGUGAGAAGUUUGAAACUGAUUCAAAAGUGUCCAAGAAAGAUGCCUCCAAACUGUCCAAGGAUGAUAAGGAUUUGUUGGAAGUUAAAGAGAGCAAAACCUUUAAAACUGAUCGUGAUAGUCGAAUGUCUAAAAAACUAUCAGCACUUGAAGAGUCAGUUGAGAAAAAACCGAAGUCACUUUUGGGGAAAGUUCUAAUGAAGAGAAAAAAUCCUAAAAGCGCUGGAAAAGGAACGGUGAAAGAUCCCCUGUCCACCCUUCAGAACACAAGACAGAAAAGAACUCUAAAGGAAAAUUUAAAAGCUUUCGCUAAAAAGUUAAAGUUUACCAAGUCCGGACAUCAAGAUAUAGCAAAAAUCCUUGAAGAGGAAAGCGAUGGUACGCUAAGUGCUGGCCAGUCCCAGAAAGCGUCCGAUUCAGAUACAUCUAGCAAACAGUCAACUCGAUCAAAACAAAAAGAUGACACAGUCCCAGUCUCAAAAUCUAGGAAAAUGUCUCUGUCACUAUCUGCCGGGACUUCAGGUGCACCCUCUAUGUUGGAGCAGACCUCAUCGGAAAAGAAAACUUCUGGUGUCACCCUUGCACAAUUUGAGUCAGGAAGCAAUUCGUCAAGCAGCGGUUCUGUCAAGAAUAAGAGAACGGAAGAUGAUGCGGAAAGUGUCUCCGUUGCAGCCAUGUCAUCAUCAUCUCAAAAUUUGUCUUCUACAUCCGAGUCUGCCAAGAGAAAAAUAGGAAAGAAGAAGAAAGAAGAAGAAAAAACAGGGACCACCAGUGCCAGAGAUGACCUCAAAGCAGCACCAGCUUUUAAAACUGUGUCGAUUGGGGAUAAGUUGAAAGUCUACUACGGACCCUCCACCCAAGAUUCGAAGAAAGUCACGUACGAAGCAAAAGUUUUGAAUAUAAAAGAAAACCGCAAUGCUUCUCCAGAUGAGCCAUCAAAAUUAUAUUUGGUACAUUAUACUGGCUGGAAUACGCGUUACGAUGAAUGGAUUCCCUUGACUCGGAUCGCAGAUAAUCUGACAGGUCCUGCAGAUGGCUCUGAAAAUUCUGGCACUGACACGGCUCCACCCAAAAAUUCUAAUGAAAGCAAAGGUCCUCCGCCAGGUUUAUCUAAGUCAACAACCAAAUUGGCAUCAUCUACUUCAUUAUCUGGUAGGAAUAAGUCACCCGGUAACUCUGUCAGACCUCCUUCCAGCAGAAUUAUGGCCAAAAAAUCAAGAACAAGAAAAAUUUCAUCUCAGAACACAGAUGGUUCGGAUUCAGAUAAUGACUUCGCAGACUUAGAAGACUCAGCAACCAGGACUGACGACUCAGAUGAUGAAAUCGACCUGCAAAAUAUAAGUGAGCUCUCAGCCUCAUCUCUAACUGGAAGUGAAAUAACCACUCGCAGCCAGCGUGAUAAACGUGGUAAAAUCUCAGAUCUUGGCAAAGACUCAGAUAAUUCAAAUGAUAGCAAAAAGAAGGAUACAACCCCACGUCCAACGAAAAAACCCAUCCUAAAACGCAAGAAUUCAGACCCAGCAAUGAAAACUGGCAAGUGGAAUAAAGAGGAGGACGAAGAAGUAGAAGAAACUGAGGAUUGGACAAUGGAGUCGCGGAAGAAGAUUCGAAGUAAGGCAGAGGAAGAAAAUACAAUCAGUAGCAGUGGGUCACUCAGGAAAAAGAAGCUAUCAAAAGAAACCUCGAAAGAUGAAGAUAUGGACCAGUCAGGCGAUAACUCAUCGGCCAAAAAGAAAAUAUCGACAAGGUCAAAUAAAGAUUCUUCUUUUGACGACUCAAGCCUCCUUGACACAUCCAAUAAAACCCCUGGAUCCUCUGGGAAAAAAGUCACAAGAUCCUCCGUCAUCAAACGAUCUCCUCGUUGUAAAAGUGCUCUUUAUGUCGAUGAAAUUGAUGAAGACGCAGAUGUAGAAGACGAUGACGAUGAAAACGAGGUUGAAGUCAUGCCCAAAAAAGCAGAAUCCCAUGCUGCAGUUGUCCCAGACAAGAAGCCCUCGCCAGAAAAAGACUCUGCCAAGAAAGUCUCUAAGUCAAAAGCCUCCACAAAUGACGUUAAAGAAGAGUCCAUAGACAAGAAGAAAUCAAAACCUGACGAGGAUCCAGUGAAAAAAGAAAGCGCACCCACCCCAACGGAAAAUAUCUACCAGAGACGAUAUAGCGGCCGAAGAAGCACGCACUUGAAAAAUAAACAGAUCCGAGAAGCUGAAGACAAAGCAGAUUCUAAAGUUUCGCCAAGGGGUCGAGAAUACGACUUGGCAGCUAUCAGGUCUGAGUUGAAAGGGCUUUCUAAAGCAUCUCAAGACUUAGAAAGUGAUAACCUUGCCAAGGACGGAGAUGAUAAGACGCCUUUAGAUGAUAAACACAAUUUGGAGAGUUCUAUUGAAGAUGAGAAGUAUCUUUCCUCUGAACAAAUUAGUAACUUACUGACUGACACUCCCAAAAAGGGCACAUCAUCGACUGAGCCGCUCUCCUCAUUAAAGAAAUCUGUCUCUAGCGUGGAUUCUUCAAAAAAACCUAUCAGCGAUGUAACACAGAACAGUAUCCCAGUGAUUGAUACGACUGUUAAAAAGCAAGUGUCAACUGAUUUAGGUUUGAAAAAAUCAUCAGAAUCAACUCCUAAGCCAGCUGUAAGCGCAGAAACAACCUCCCAGAAGCUUGAAUUUCCCCAAAAGAAAGCAACCACUUCUGAAGCAGCGUCAAAAAAAAUUAUUCCUCCAGAAAGUGGUCCCAAGAAGAGUAUUUCACCAUCAGAAGCUACGAAAAAAUCAGUCGUUGCCCAAGAAACUAUUCCAAGGAAAUCAGGCGCUGAUCUUAGUAAAAAGAAGAGUUUAGACUCAAGCACGAAAAAAGUGGAACCUGUGACUCCCAAUCGUUUUGCUGUUUCAGAGCAACCUUCUAGCGAUCUAGAUGACAUAUAUGAAUUCAAAGAGUCCGAUCCAUUUGAAUUCACCGAGUGUCGUAGCAAAUCAGGAUCCUCUGAUGAGAAGAACCCCAGUAAACUGACCCCACGACGUCCGAUUGCUCCGGGAAUUUCAGCUGCUUCAUCUAGUCCCAAAGUUGAUAACCUUGACUCCAGGAGCACUCCAACAACGCCUUCUGCCACACCAAAGAAAAAACCAUUCUUAGAUCUAUCCUCACCCCCGCCGUUGGUAUCCUUUAGCUCAGAAGCUCCUAGUGUUGUCAGUGUAACAACAAGCACAAAACGGAAAUUUGAAGAUCCUAGCACUCAAGACUCGACAAAAGAAAUGAAAAAGAAAAGAUCUCCAUUUGUUGCAACUGUGCAAAGUGAUACUCUCUCAUCAGAAAAAGUUACAGAAGUAUCAAAAAUCGAUGCUGUAAAGUCAGCCUUGUUUGGUGGUCUUAUCGAUUCAUCUGAUAAGUCCAAGACUGUUGUAGACACAAGUAAAUCAGUAACCGAUGCAGCAAAAGUUGAGUCAGUUGAUACGAAGCCAGCCAUCAAUUUAGAGGCAGCCAACACCGCAACCGCUCUUCCAGACUUAUUUUCAAGAAAAGACAAACUCACAAGUGCACUGGUUUCGUCAGUAAUAAAAUCAGAAGUAGACAAGUUAGAAUCCAACAGACCUACCUCAGAUAAUGUCGAUCAACCCGAAAAAUCUGAGACCAAAGCAGUUGUAGAAAAUGAAAAGUCGUCUAGCGUAGACUCCAAAGCCUACAAUGUAAUCAUCCGCCCGAAUCUCAAAACAUUUAGCAAGCAAGCGGCUUACAAGUACCCUCCACCACUGGUGCCCAGUAAAUCGGCAUUCUCUGCUAUCUCAGAAGAUAAACUUGACGAUAACAAAUCACCUGCGGUCCCAGAAACGGAUAGCAAGGUCACAACAUUUGACAGCUCCAGAAUCAAACUGUCACCCGUAUUGUUCUCUAGUCCUGCAAAGGGCUCUGAUGUGGAAUCAGAUGAUAUCAAACCGUUCCUCUUCGAAACGCCAAAAACAUCUGAAAAAUUGAAGGAAUCUAGUAAAGGGUCAAUUAAUGGACUCUCAGAGAUUAAGUCUGUUGAAGUGAUAACAGAAAUCAAAGAAGAAAUGCCUACCUUGAGUGCUACUGUAAAGGAAUCGAUCACAAAAUCAGGGAUCAGCAAAUAUGAUGAGGAUUCAAAAGUAAAGGAUGCAGCUAGGAAAGAUUACUCCAAACGAAAACCUGUUCUGAGUAAAGAAUUCAUCAACGAAGACUCAUCUAGCAGUGACUCAUCGAAUGAUUUUACUGCCCUUAUAACUAAGAAAGCAUCAAAAGGACCUUCAAAUAGAGAUCGCUCCUUCAUUUUUGACUCCAGCACCAGCAGUAACGAUGAUGACAACAAUGCUGAUGAUGAUAAUGAUGAUGAUAACAAUGAUGAUGAGGAUGACGAUGGAAAUCUACAGAUCAAUUUGGAAGUGAGUAGUCAAGAGGACAUCAAGAAAGCCAUCAUUGGAGAAGACAACAUUGAUGAUGACAAUGAUGCAGAUGAUGACGAUGAUGGGGAUGAAGAAGAUGGGGAUGAAGAAGAUGAUGAUGACGAUGAUGAUGACGACGAUGAUGAUGAUGAUGAUUGCUUUGUCUCAAGGAAAGAAAAGAAGCCACUUUCAGCGAAAAAUCAGGAACUCAGAAAAGAUGAGAUGGAUGGCUUGAAGGACCACACUGAUGCAAAAUCCAAUCCUUCAAAAGAAGUCGAUUUUUCAGACGACAAAACCUCUGCCAAAGAAGAAAAAGGCAUGAAAGAUAAUGUCUCCUUUGACAAGAAUGAAGCAUCAGAUGAAAAUGACUUCAUUGAUAAUGAACUUCUUUGUGAAGAAAUCAUUCCGAAGAGUCCUCCACCAGCAGGAGCUCAUGUUGAUAGUGGACCUAGCAAACUGGCAAGUAGUAAGAGCACCUCCAAGUCAAAAGAAAUGCCUUUUGCGAGCGCUUUAAGUAGUAACUGCUCUUACUCAGGAGCAGACAAAAUGUACUCGAGCUCCAAGAAUCUAAGCAUGUUCCCACCCAAAACUAUUAAAACUCUCCAACCUUCGUCCUCCAAAUUUAGGUCUUCUGCAUUAACCAAUAACGAUAGGAAAGAAACGUCUUCCAAUGCUGAGUCAAAUGAAGGCAGUAAAGUCAUGCUGAUGGACAUCACACCACCGAUGACGCCAGAAAACUGUCUAUCCCCUGUGUCAAAUUCACCUACUGAUGAUCAAAGCAAUUCAUCUCCAGCUCAUACUCAAGAUGAUAUUUAUAAAAGUACAACCACAGGCCAUAAAACAGUGGAUUACAACGAUGAUUCCUCAAGCAUUUUAGAUAUCAAAUCAGGGUCGAAAAAAGGUCAUGAUUCCUCAGCAGGAACUUCACGGAAAAGGAGACGUAGUGAGACUGAAGGAGGCCCAAGCUCUAAAAUUCCUUACUCAAGUUUUGACUCGACAAGGAAAAAAGUCAGGACAAAUCAAGAAAGUCCUUCCGCUUGUGGGAGCGACAGUGAUGAUGGAUCGGAACAAGGCACCAGCACUUUGGGUUCUAGUCCUUCCAAUUCAAGUAUUACCAAGGCCUCUAAAAAUAAUUUCUUCGUAGAAUUAGAUCCGGAACUUGAUGGUACUCAACGCAUUGCAAUACUGCAGCAAAAACUUCAAGAUCUGCGGAAAACGUACAUGAAUCUUAAGCAAGAGUUAGCAUGCAUUGAUAGGAGACGGAAGAAGAUUUGCCGAAGAGAACGAGAAGGUUACGCUUACGGAUUGAGAAGUAUGAACGCUUUAGUUCGCAAUCAGGAUUGAUUGGACUGACCCUAAUAGCCGUGUGAUAAUUCGUUGGUUUUCCAAUGUUUCCAAGAAAUAACUCUGAUGAAAUUUUUAACUAUAUUCAUUAAAAAAUCAAUAAAGGAGGAAACGCAUCUACAUCCUCCUGUUCUUGAAUCUUGAACCUGUCUAACUUCAGUUUCGUCUACAUGUUGUGAAUCCUCUCCGCUCUCUUUGCAGUAUAAAAAAAAAAACAACUACAAUCAAAAGCUCAAUAGGCUUCAAACUACUCUCAACCAAUUUUCCAAGAAUACCUAGUUAAAUUUUUCGUGUUACAGGAAUAUUUUAUUGUUAAGUGAAUAAGUCUUCAUCCCUCUCAGUGAGUCAUCACAUCUUGUAUCAAAUUGUAAUAUGGUUAUCAUCCUCUCUGCUUCGCAGAUUGCUUAAAGUGUUAAGUUAUUGUGUUUUUUUAUAUUUUAUUUUCAUUGUACGCAAGUACAAUAAAUAGUUAACUACUUAAUCCGAUCUCAUAUGUGAAAUGUGUAAGAAGUAGAAAUGACGUAAAUUAACUUUGGACUUUUGGCCCUGCUUUUAAUAUCUCACUAAUUUUUAAUUCGUUAUUUGUUCCAAAAAAAAAUGUGAACUUUUUAGUGUAUCAUAUUAUCGCCUUAGUUACUCCGCUAGGUCAAUGUCUCUUGCAGGACUUGUUUCCAAUUCAUGAUAGAAUCAUUCUAAUGUUUUAUUUAUUUAUUUGUGAAAUUUGUAAUUUUUUUAUUUUUGAAUUAAGUACGUAUUGUACUGUCAGUAAUUUUGUUUCAAAUUUUUUAUGAUAGGUUUUUAAUUUUUAUUUCUCCAUUAUGUUGCGUAGAGACCGGUUCUUUUAAUAUCCAAGAGAGAAUCAUUGAUUUCUGUCAGGAUUUUGAAGUUUCAGUCCGUUUUUUUGGUUUGUUGAAGUCUAGAGCAAAACUAAUCAAGGAAGGUAUAUAUUCUUCCUCAGUGACUCAUUUAAAAUUUUAAUGUAAAGUGUAUCAAAAUGUACACAUGCCACAUUAUUCAUGCUGCGAACAAAAAUAUAUUUAAACUUAAAAGAAUUUCAGCAUUGCAAUUCGUCCUAAUUUCAUUUUGAUGUCUAAUUUAAUGUAAUCCAAUUAAUUAACUUUUAAUUAUCAAAUAAUGUGUAAUUAUCUGUUUCUCCAGUGAUUUUUAUUAGUCCAGGAUAGGUUGUGUGUGGUGACUGUGCUAUUUUCUGAAUCCAUUAAUUGAGAUUUUUUGCAAGACAUUGGGAUAUAAACUCUUUUGUAUCGCUUUUAAUCUGAUUUUCGAACUGUGAUGUAGCCAAAGACUGAUAGUGAAGUAAUUCCGAUUUUUUAGCCGGAAAUUAAACUGAAUGCGCAUUAGUUACGACUAUUAUGCUUUUCAAUCUUGAUUUUUGUAGCUAGAUUGUAUGAGUCCUCUUUGAGUCCUGAAGGAAUUGUAACAUUACAGGUUGUCUGCAGGUCUCGAAAUCAGGAAAUCGUCUGAGACUUUCAUUAAGUCAGGGAAUUUAUGAAAAAUACUGCAAAUUUGCUAUUGAAACUUAAAAUCUGAAAAAAUAUCAGGGCUGUCUACAUUCCAACGGAGUUGCAUUCUGGUUCUGGGUUCAGUGCCCUGAAUUACACUCUGGAUAGUGAGUAGAUGAAUAAUUUUUAAUAAAAAAAUGAGUUUAAACGUAAUUGAAUGUUAACAACCCGGAGAAAAAACGUUCAAUCAUUACUGUCAUUUGCAGUGAAAUUAAUGUAAAAAAUUCCUCACUUUUUCUCCUACGCGCACUAAUUGUUGCUGUGAAAAGUCAAGGAAUUUUGAUAAUUUUUGUCAAGGAAUUUCUUUCCUCCAAGUUUGUAGACACCCUGUGUUUUCUGUAAAUUUUGGCAAUGCACCUUCUACUACAGUAAAUCGUACUCGAUACAUCAAACGGGUGAGAUUGUAUCUAUAUCGAUUGGUUCAAAACAUAAACAUAGCCUCAAAAGUCAAUUGAGUAAAUCUGACGGAACGGAUUUUUUGUGAUAGAUUUUUGAUUCGUAUGAGUACUAAUUGGUCAAGAGGAGUAAAACUACUACAAAAUUUCUCAUUUUCAGCUUUUCUGGUAAAUAUCUUAAAAUUUUGGUUCGAGGUUAUGCUCUAUUGUUUUGAACCCAAUGAUACAUCGGAUCACUAUCGAAUACCAUUCAUUAAAUUCUGUCAAAUCCAAGAUCAUGAUGUCAUGAUAUUUUGGUUUGAUUAGCAUUAGAUAUAGUAACACAUAUCUGUAACAAAGUGCUUUUACGGACAUCCCCAACUUUUCACCUUUGAGCCCUAGUAAAAAGAUAAUUUUUGCUUUGCGUAUCGAUGGGUAAAGUAUGGAAUAUCUCCAAGUAAUUUAAGUAGUCGUAAAUAAAAUGUAUCUCCAUUGCAACAUUUCAAAAUCUUCAGUUAUAUUUUUGUCUUUAAAAAAUCGACCAAAAUAUCUCUUUAAAAUGUUCAGUGAAUUUUUCUUGAAUAAGUGUUACAAAUUCACAAAAAUUAAAAAGAAAAAGAAAAUUUUUAUCAGGUUCCUUACAAUGAAGUGAAAUUCAAUAAAUUAAUAAAAGAAACACUCUAGCACAAAUUUGCAUUGUUGCAACAGGAGUUAUCCAUUUUUCGAUAUUGGUCAUGGAUAUGUUGAGCCUCCUGAAGGACUAAAGAGAUGACAUUAAGGUAGUGUAACGCAGUGAGAGUUAUUUUAACCAUCAUAGGAUUGAUGAUUUACUGUAGGAGGAAAAAACGGAAGGAUACACCCCAUUUUUUAAAAUUCUUUAUGAGUUUGUAAGAAAUGGUUAUUUUAUUUGAGGGGUGCUUUGUAUAUUGUAUGAUUUCUCUCUCAUUUGAGUAAUUAUUUGAAGUGAUUAUUAAUUGGACGGACUUAAUAGAAACAGCCAAAAUAUAUCAGACGCUGUCUAAUAUCUUCUACUCUAUUUUUAUUUUCACAGUUUAUAAUUGUGCUUUUAGUUUCCUUCUGAUAACGUGGUCUGAUAAUGUAGCCUACUCAAUAUGAGUGUAAAUUUUUUCUGAUUUUCAGGCGCUAGAUUCACAAACCAAAAACUCGCAUAAAAAUUGUGGAUAUUUUACCCCUACAGAUGUGAUCGAGAACCAGUUUCCUCGCAGCAUCUUUAAAUUGUAAUUCUCUUGAUACUUACUAACAACAUUGUAUAAACCUGUAUAAUACAUAUGAUCAGCAGGCUGCAAAGUGAAGUUAAAUUGUAAAUAGAUCAGUUUCAAGUUCAUCAUUUCAGUUCUUGUUUGAUAGAUUUUAUGAUAAUUUCUCAUUUUAUUAGUUGAUAUGUUAAAAAUGUAUAAUUUAUGUAUGAAAUUACAUGUUUUUUCUUUUUAUUGAAAAAAA